GACAACCAGUUCUGUCACCUUAUGAUAUGGUUUGUCCGUAUCCCCCCACCAAAUCUCAUGUUGAAUUGCAGUUCCCACAAUCCCCAUGUGUCGUGGGAGGGACCUGAUGGGAGGUAAAUGAAUCAUGGGGGCAAUUACCCCCAUGCUAUUCUCAUGAUAAUGAGUGAGUUCUCAGGAGAUCUGAGAGUUUAUAUAAAGGGCUUUUCCCCCUUUGCUUGGCACUUCCGCUUCCUGCCGCCCUGUGAAGAGGGUGCCUUUCUUUCCCUUCGCCUUCUACCAGGAUUGUUAAGUUUCCUGAAGCCUUCCCAGCCACGUGGAACUAAUUUCACUCUUGUGGCCCAGGCUGGAGUGCAAUGGCGUGAUCUCAGCUCACUGCAACUUCUACCUCUCGGAUUCAAGUGAUUCUCCUGCCUCAGCCUCCCAGGUAGCUGGGUUUACAGGAAUGAAAUGGACGUUCUUACUCAUCAUACCAUAAGCAUCCAGGUGAAUGAUUGCUCACUUCUUUCAUCUAAUGAGGAAUUGGCUUUCUUGAGAAUCUCAAUGCAGUGUACCUCCAACCUUAACAGACUGCUGUAAAACACCCUGACCAUUCUUUAGUAUAAGCACUGAAGAAGACAGUAUGUUGACCACGAGGCACCUGGCCUGGCUCAUAGUAUGCCAUCAAGAAAUGCUAAUUUUCUAUUUCCUCUUUUUCAAAGAGUUAUUUCAAGAAAGAAAGGAGAGGAGAGGAUGUUACAAAUUCCAUGUAAAUAAAAUUUGUCACUAAUUCUGUGAACUAAUUGAUAUCAUAAUUUGAUUCUCUUACCUCUUUUUAAUCUCUCUAUUAGUCCAUUUUUAUGCUGUGAAUAAAGACAUACCUGAGACUGGGCAAUUUACAAAAGAAAGAGGUUUAAUAGACUCUCAGUUCCACAUGGCUGAAGAGGACUCACAAUCAUGGCAGAAGGUGAAAGGCACAUUUCACAUGGUGGCAGACAAGAGAAUAGAACUUGUGCAGGGAAACUCCCCUUUAUAAAACC
rnacentral:lncRNA from 1 species